UACGAAGGGGGCUAGCGUUGCUCGGAAUCACUGGGCGUAAAGGGUGCGUAGGCGGGUCUUUAAGUCAGGGGUGAAAUCCUGGAGCUCAACUCCAGAACUGCCUUUGAUACUGAAGAUCUUGAGUUCGGGAGAGGUGAGUGGAACUGCGAGUGUAGAGGUGAAAUUCGUAGAUAUUCGCAAGAACACCAGUGGCGAAGGCGGCUCACUGGCCCGGUACUGACGCUGAGGCGCGAGAGCGUGGGGAGCAAACCGG
rnacentral:rRNA from 1 species